rnacentral:rRNA from 1 species
AGGGUUCGAUUCUGGCUCAGGAUGAACGCUGGCGGCGUGCUUAACACAUGCAAGUCGAACGGAGUUUUUAAGCGGAAGUUUUCGGAUGGAAGUUUAAGAACUUAGUGGCGGACGGGUGAGUAACGCGUGGGUAACCUGCCUCAUACAGGGGGAUAACAGUUAGAAAUGACUGCUAAGACCGCAUAAUAUAGCGAAACCGCAUGAUUUUUGCUAUCAAAUAUUUAUAGGUAUGAGAUGGGCCCGCGUCUGAUUAGCUAGUUGGUGGGGUAAAAGCCUACCAAGGCGACGAUCAGUAGCCGGCUUGAGAGAGUGACCGGCCACAUUGGGACUGAGACACGGCCCAAACUCCUACGGGAGGCAGCAGUGGGGAAUAUUGGACAAUGGGGGAAACCCUGAUCCAGCGAACCGCCGCGUGAGUGAAGAAGUAUUUCGGUAUGUAAAGCUCUAUCAGCAGGGAAGAUAAUGACAGUACCUGACUAAGAAGCCCCGGCUAACUACGUGCCAGCAGCGGC